AACGAACGCUGGCGGCAUGCCUAACACAUGCAAGUCGAACGAGAACUUCGGGUCUAGUGGCGCACGGGUGCGUAACGCGUGGGAACCUGCCCUUAGGUUCGGAAUAACUCCCCGAAAGGGGUGCUAAUACCGGUUAAUGUCUUAGGACCAAAGAUUUAUCGCUUUGGGGUGGGCCCGCGUUAGAUUCGCUGGUUGGUAGGGUAAAAGCCUACCAAGGGGACGUUCCAUGGCUGGUCGGAGAGGAUGAUCCGCAACACUUGCACUGAGACACGGCCUAGACUGCUACGGGAGGGAGCAGUAUGGAAUAUUGUACAAGGGGCGAAAGCCUGAUCCAGCAACGCCGCGUGAGUGAUGAAGGCCUUAGGGUUGUAAAGCCCUUUUACCCGGGAUGAUAAUGACAGUACCGGGAGAAUAAGCACCGGCUAACUACGUG
rnacentral:rRNA from 1 species